GCCCUUGUUGAUUAGCGGUAUAUCACCCACCAGCCGUAUUGAAGGAGUACCGAGCCUAAGGAUACUUGGUGGGAAACGGGGGUUCGAUUCCUCCCGAGGGCA